GACGUAGGGCGCGAGCGUUGUCCGGAUUUAUUGGGCGUAAAGAGCUCGUAGGCGGUCUGUCGCGUCUGCUGUGAAAACCUGGGGCUUAACCCCGGGCCUGCAGUGGGUACGGGCAGACUAGAGUGCGGUAGGGGAGACUGGAAUUCCUGGUGUAGCGGUGAAAUGCGCAGAUAUCAGGAGGAACACCGGUGGCGAAGGCGGGUCUCUGGGCCAUUACUGACACUGAGAAGCGAAAGCAUGGGGAGCGAACAGG
rnacentral:rRNA from 1 species